AGGACGAACCCUGGGGACUGGGGGAGGGGACCAUCACCACUUCCGAAUUCCUUAAACCCCAUGAAUCCAACUUUAAGACGUCUCGUCGGAACGUCUUGUGAAUGUCGGCGUCACGUGGCUCACUUCGCUCUCUGCACAAAUGUGUCAACGCUGACAUAAUUUUAUGAGCUUAAUUAUAGCAGGACUGUCACAUUUACGGAGGUCCUUGAAUGGAUCAUGCGUGAGAAACGCUCAUGGUAAGAAAAAUACUCAAUUCCAAGCUUGAAAUAGUGAUAUUUCAUGAAAAUCACUUUAUUCUGCAUAUAUUACUUUGCACAAAAAUUAACUGUUUGCAAUAAUCAGAUCCUGCAAAACAAACAUUCAACUAACUUUGCACUACUGCACAGGGAAGCUGUAAAUGACUGACAGUUAUAUGUAAAAAUUGUGUGAAACUGGAGACUGAACUGCAAGGAGGAGGAGAGGCAAAUACAAGAGACAAGAAACAUCCACAAACUGCUCAGGGUUCAGAGGGUAAAUUUGUUCUUUUAUGGUUUCUUGGUCUUUCACAGCUGAAUAAAUCUUCCCAAUUUAAACUGUAAAACAUAUUGGAUAGCAGGCUUAAGUGAGCAAUAUUGUUAUGAUA